AUAGAUUCAAUUUAACCAAUAAUUAUAAUCAAUUUAAUUUAAGAUGCUACUCUAUUUUUUAUGAUGACAAAGUAGACGAUUUUUUCAUAGCAACGCAGAGCCUAUUUUUAUAAAUUUUUUAUAAAAAUUACUAAUAAAUCAUAAGUUAGUCACAAAUCAUUUUUAUAUUAUUGUUAUUGUUAUAUCUUUAAUAAUUAUAAGUCAUUAAUAAAUCACAAUCUCAAACAUAUAUUUUGCACCAUUUAUCACAUUAAGUCACAUUAAAUCAUGAAUCAUAAUUUAAAAUUGAGCCGAAUGACGUUGUAGUUUAGACUACUACUUAACUUUUAACAAAAAAGGAAGUUUGAGAAUUCAAUUUCACAGUGUUUUAUAAAUUUUACUGUCAUCCGAGUCACGAAUAGUAUGGAUUCAUUUCGAUUCACAGUGUCUUUACCUUUUUUUUUAACAUCCCAUUCAUUUUUUUACAUUACAAAAAUUUUCUGUAAAAAAAUUGGGUGGGACAAGAAGUAUAAAUUUUACCGUUCUCGGAGUCAGCGAAUGAUUUGGCGAGUCAAAGGAACCGUGGUGAGCACAACAGUUUAUAAUUCUCAGUUAGAAAAUAGUAGAACGUAAUGUAUCCUAAAUUUUGUUUUAUUUAUUUAUUUAAAACGAUGUGAUAAUUAAAUAAAUGAUUUUAGUUAAAUGAUUUAUGUACAAAUGUGAGAUCACAUUAUUAUUAAUGUGAGCGAAAUCAAUUAAAAAUCAAUAAUUAAGAUUGGAUACCUAAAUUUUUCUAAAAAUAUAAAAAAGUAUGAUAUUGAAUAUCCAAAAAUAACAUAAAAACGUAAAAGUAGGAGGGGCAGUGAUGAUGAAAACACAAUUUAUACUUCGUCUGUUUUGUUUUAUAGGUAUUUUAGAAAAUGUUGUUUAUUAUUUUUUUUUUUUGUCAGGAUCUACAUACUCGUAGAUGAGUUGUAUCAUAGAUACAAUAGCCGCAUCAGGGAUUACUUUCAUACAAUAAAGUUUAUCAUCUAACCGAAAGAUACGCAAAGAUAUCUCCGGACGUUUAGAUAAUAAGACUUUAAAGUCUGAUAAGAAAACCCGUAAGGUCUCUCUCCAAGAUCCUGAAAAACAAACCAAGCAAAAACAAACAUAAGAAUGAUAAAUUAAAGAAAAAAGUAUUUUGGAGAAAAUAAACCCAAUUAUGACAUAUAAAUCCUGACAAAAAUAAAUAUAAUAAUAUAACAUCUUAUUCAAAAAUAAAAAUUUUAGAACUAAUAAAAAUACGAUACAAAUAUGAAAAGUGAUAAUGUCUAACCAAAGUAAGAACUUUGGUUAGACACGCAAUAUAAAGAAAUCGUAAUACAUAUUAAUAUUUUCUUGUGGGAACAAAAAAACAAAAACAAAAAUUAAAGAUUUUUGUUAGGAAAAGAGGGAAGUUACAAAUUAAAUCAUAUUUAUAUCCCGAUCAACGUAAAUUAAUUAUUUAAUAAUCCAAUUAGUCAAUAAAAGGGUUAUCAUAACAUCACAAAGUAUAAGAAUUAAGAAAUUCAAAUUAUUAAUCCAAGAACAAAAUUAACCGCAAAAUAUUCAUUUAGGACAAUAGGCCGAUAAUCAUGCCAACCAAUAUUGGUCCAAAAAUAUAUGCCACCAAUUAUGGCCACCAAAAUUGGUACAAACUCCUUGAACGUUAUCAAGACCUAAUAAAAGCCAUCGAUUAUGGCACCCAAUAAAUAUUCAUAAAUAUUAAUAAAUUAACAAAUUUAAUAUGCCAAUUAAGCGGAAUAAAUGCACAUAAACACUUACCAAACACACAAUUUUUCAAAAACAUGAAUGGAAUCAAUUAAUCCCUAAUUAGGGUAGAGAAAAUUCAAAUUCCAAAUCUGAGCAAAAAAAGAGUCAACUUGCCAUAUAUAAUACAAUAAAGAUCUACAAUUACUAAAAUCCACCUAUUCAAAAAUCAAAACUUAAAACUAAAUUAUGCACCAAAAUUAGUCAAUCAGAAUAAUCAACUCGCACUAAUUAGUCACCCCUACACCACCUCCAAAAAUCCGACCAUGAAUAGCAAGCCAGACCAAGACUAGGCAAAACGAAAAUAACAUGUCAUCAAAUUAAUAAAUCGAGCAAUUCAAAAUACAGACAAAAACUCAGCCUAGACACAGACUAGAUACCAGCUCGGCAUAAACACAAGCAAAAAUCAAGCAAGCAGCAGCAAUCAAAAACGUAAACCAGAAUCUGAACUCAAUAAUCGACUCCUAUCGAGUCAACUGAAGGAAAAACUAAACAUAAUGACUCAAUGAUGCAACUCGGUCACGGAAAAAUCGGUGACUCCAAAAUAAAUGAUACCAGAAUCAGACCACAAAACUAAACAGAGAAGCAUAAACUCAUCUUCUUUUCUUAGUGAUCAACUCAUUUAAACAAAAAAAGAAAAACGACUUACUUGUACCGUGGCCUCAAAACUCACGGACUUACCCGUAUUCACCUUCAAAGGGCAAAACAGUUGCACGACAUCAUUUUGAUGAUUUCAUCUCUGACUCAUCGGGUUUACUCACUGAGUUGGCUCCGAAUAAUUAGCUUUCCCCAGACUAGCCCAUGGAAAAUCCGACGAGCAACAAAAACGUACCAGAAGAUUUCAAUAUGACUGCUACUCAAUAGUCCCUGGUAUUGAAACUAUAAAAAAGACAGUCUCAAUAUACACAAUCUUAUGUUGAGCAAAACCAUGACUUUUUCCCCAAAAAAUAUGAAUAAGAAACUAAGAUAGGGUUUAUAUAUGUGUAUAAAAUUUUUUUGGGGCUUGUUGUUUAAUAGUUGGUAUAGGUUAAUUCAGGUUGAAAUUUGGGGAUUGUUGUGGUUUGGAAUUGAUGGGCGAUGCUGGUGGUGGUGGCUGGCCGGUGCUGCGACGGCAACGCCGACGGGCUUCGGCGGCGACUGGAACGGGGGAGAAGAGGGAGAUGGCAGAGGAGAGAGAGAUGGGAGUUAAAAAUGUUGUUUAUUUAUAAAUGUAGAUCGUUCUCUCUUUCCAAAAGUAGUUGGGUUGUCUAAUUACUUUUGUUACCCUUAUUUAAUAUCAUAAGUCAAGAGAAAAAAGGAGGAGAGACAUCAAACGAGGGCAAAGAUGAAGAAAAAAAGAGUUAAUAUAUGUUUUAAUGUAAUAAUGUGUGAAAAAACCUUAAACAGCCUAUAAAACAACACAGGGAGUAUAAUCUUUGGACUGAAAAUAACAACUUUCACCGUGCCAAGAACCCAACUAUUGGCCCCAUAAAUGACUAAUGAUUGAACCCUCG
rnacentral:lncRNA from 1 species